rnacentral:rRNA from 1 species
GAGUUUGAUCUUGGCUCAGAUUGAACGCUGGCGGCAUGCUUUACACAUGCAAGUCGAGCGGCAGCGCGGGGCAACCUGGCGGCGAGCGGCGAACGGGUGAGGAACACAUCGGAACGUGCCCGGGAGUGGGGGAUAACGCCGCGAAAGCGGCGCUAAUACCGCAUAUUCUCUGAGGAGGAAAGUGGGGGACCCGCAAGGGCCUCACGCUCACGGAGCGGCCGAUGUCCGAUUAGCUAGUUGGUGGGGUAAAGGCCUACCAAGGCUUCGAUCGGUAGCUGGUCUGAGAGGAUGAUCAGCCACACUGGGACUGAGACACGGCCCAGACUCCUACGGGAGGCAGCAGUGGGGAAUUUUGGACAAUGGGGGCAACCCUGAUCCAGCCAUGCCGCGUGCGGGAAGAAGGCC